ACGGGUGAGGAAUAUGUAGGAAUCUACCCUCGAGCGGGGGACAACCAAGGGAAACUUUGGCUAAUACCGCAUAAUCUCGAGAGAGUAAAGUUGCCGCAAGGUGACACUCGAGGAGGAGCCUGCAUCCGAUUAGCUAGUUGGUGGGGUAAGAGCUCACCAAGGCGAUGAUCGGUAACUGGUCUGAGAGGACGACCAGUCACACUGGGACUGAGACACGGCCCAGACUCCUACGGGAGGCAGCAGUGGGGAAUAUUGGACAAUGGGGGCAACCCUGAUCCAGCGAUGCCGCGUGAGUGAAGAAGGCCUUCGGGUCGUAAAGCUCUUUAGGUUGGGAAGAAGGUUGGUAGUGGAUAAUACUAUUAACUUGACGGUACCGACAGAAUAAGCACCGGCAAACUCUGUGCCAGCAGCCGCGGUAAUACAGAGGGUGCAAGCGUUAAUCGGAUUUACUGGGCGUAAAGGGCGCGUAGGCGGUCAAGUGUGUGGAAUGUGAAAGCCCCGGGCUUAACCUGGGAAGUGCAUACCAAACUAUUUGACUGGAGUAGAUGAGAGGGUGGCGGAAUUUCCGGU
rnacentral:rRNA from 1 species